UAAGGAAUAUUGGUCAAUGGACGAAAGUCUGAACCAGCCAUGCCGCGUGGAGGAUGAAGGCCCUCUGGGUUGUAAACUUCUUUUAUAGGGGACGAAAAAGGGUCUUUCUAGAUCAACUGACGGUACCCUAGGAAUAAGCACCGGCUAACUCCGUGCCAGCAGCCGCGGUAAUACGGAGGGUGCAAGCGUUAUCCGGAUUCACUGGGUUUAAAGGGUGCGUAGGUGGGUUAGUAAGUCAGUGGUGAAAUCUUCGAGCUUAACUCGGAAACUGCCAUUGAUACUAUUAGUCUUGAAUAUUGUAGAGGUGAGCAGAAUAUGUCAUGUAGCGGUGAAAUGCUUAGAUAUGACAGAGAACACCAAUUGCGAAGGCAGCUGGCUACACAUAUAUUGACGCUGAGGCACGAAAGCGUGGGGAUCAAAC
rnacentral:rRNA from 1 species